CUUUUGUGAUAUGCCUCUAUCUUAAUGAUGUUCUUGUUCCAGCUGAAGUCACUGAUGAAUUCUUUUCACUGUCUGAUAGUACUUCCAGGCUAUUUCGGUGUUUUUAAUAAUUAGAACACUCUGGUUAUGGAAGAUUCCUGACAAUUCUUAGCUCCAAGGAACAAUCCUUUAUUUUAGCAGUGCUGUUUGCCGUAACAGAUACACCAAUUAAGUAUGAGAAAGGGUAAAACCAGCACCUCAGUUAGGUCAUGUUUAAUCCUAUUUUACAGCCACUUUUUGCUAUAAAGACACAGGCCUUGGAGUGGAAUGUAUUGAUCUCUAUAUGGAGGUCAGUGCAUGAAAAAAAAAAAUAUUAACACUGCAAAGAGCCACCCAAAAAACUAGCCAACACCAGAGUGAAGGUCCAUGGUCUCAAUGCAGUUUAACAUCCUUUGGUGCAAACAUUGCAGUCAUGUAAAAUGCCAUAGGACUGGGGCUUCUCUCACUGCGUGAGACCUGUGAAUGAGACCACUUUCCUCACCUUGAGUCCUAUCCCAGUUCUUCUCACCUUCCUCCAGAUAUGACAUUUUACUGCCUCCCACCUCCUCAUCCUCCAAGCUGUAGCAAGGUGUUCUGGCACUUAAUUCUCUUCUCCCUCCUUCCCCUAACUGGAUCCUCCCAGUUACUGCUUCUAUCUGUUGCUCACCAGCUGCCAUGGACCCCUCAGCACAGGAGAUCUCAGAGCACUACUGGACACCCUUGCCAGCAUGGCUGUGGCAUUUUUUGCCACCAAUCACAGUACUUCUUUCAUUGCUCCUGCUAUGGACUUGCUUUACCCAUUUGCUCCCUCUCCAGCAGGCUCAGCUCUUGGCACUGUGCGUUCAAUUGAGUUUCCUUCAACCCAACCUGGGCAUAGUGAUGGGUUACUGCAAGGAGGAAAGAGAACAUCAUUGCUCGUGGCUCUGCUAGUUGACUUUGACCAUGAUACAGCAAAACUGCUCCACAGCUGCAGAGAAGACUGAACGGAGCUUGGGCUAGAUGUAGUGUCAGAUUCAGUGGCAAGAUUUGGGAAGGUGAAAAACUGAAGUGCAUUAACACUCCAGGCUAUGCUGCUGUUAAAAUUAAGCAGGAUUUUUCCCAUAUGCGCUCUUCAAGUGUGAUGUCCAAACAUGCCAAGAAGUGUUUUUAUGAGCAGGUACUCAUGUGAAGGUGGAAGGAAAACACUGGAGAAGACAACACUUCUCAAUAUGUUUGGUAUCUUCAUAACCAUUUAAAGUGAUGCCAGUUGGGGCUGCAGCUAUAGAGGCUCUUCACUUGCAGGAGAAAGGUAGAUGGUAGGUUGGUAUACUGUUCCACGCAGUUCUAUACAGUAUAUUGUGGGAGAGAACAAGACCAAGUGAUUUUACUGCUAUGUUCAAUCACUCAGAAUAGUGUUUCUAAGCAAUAGCAAUUGUGUUAUACUUCUUUUUCACUUUACAUGUACAAGUUUUGAGAAGCAGAUACUAGCUAGAGAAGCAACAGAAAUAUGCAGGGAUAUACACAAGUAUUCCCCCAUAAAUGAGGCAACUGUUAAAACAUAAAUAGCUGUCUUGUGUGAAUCUGAAAAACUGCGUGUAUGGAGUAAAUUACCAUGUGCAUGAAAAAAGAAACAAAAACAUUGCAAUGGGCAAAAUUAGAAUGGCUUGGUUCUUUUACUGUGUUUGCAUGCUGUUCUACUUCAAAUCACUUAAGUCAAUAGAGAGAAAAGCUUUUGGGACUACUGGAUCUAUAAUACAAUAAAUAAAAAUACAACAUGACUCUAAAAUUUACCCAAGUAUGUGGAAUAGAUAAGCAACAUCCUAUCUUCAGCGAGAUUCUUCUUAACUUCCUUCUUUAUUUUUUAAUUUGGAAUCAAUAGCUAUACAUAUAAUGACAUUUGAAGAAUUAAGUUGUUGAAGGUAAUAUUAUAACCCAGAGCCAUUUUCUUAGAUGACAGUCAAAUUAAUUGGGAAAGAAAGAGCCUGUUUACCUUACACAGAGCCUUUAACAUCAUGGCAGCAUAUAGGUGUUAUUAAAUUGCACUUAUAUCCAUGUAAUGCUACACUUUCAGAGCAAGCAAAGCCUAUUACUUUAUUUUUUCCCACCUGUGUUUCCUUGCUUAUAGUCUUUUCUACUCAUUUAUUUCUGUCUGCAGGCUUUUAUAUUCAGUUCAGUGAAACAUGUAAAAUAUAGUAUUAUGACAGCUGCAAAAGAAUAUCAAAACCCUAAAUUUUAUCAAACUCAGCAUAAUCAUUAAAUUUUUGUUUGCCUAAAGAAGACAUAGUAGGGGAAAAAAUGAGAGGCAAAGCCAGUAAAGGCUGUCACACUAAGUGAAUGAGGAGUCUAAUAAUUUUCUCUUCACUCACCAAAAUGGAGGUCUAUUAAUAUUUCCAUGUAACACUUAUCUGUAGUGUUUUGCAGAGGACUAUGUUUUUAUAAUACAUAAACGAAUGAGAUUUCUCAGUAGACCUAUUUAGUAUUUCCUAUCAAUAACCACAUUACCAGAUUUACAAGGGAUUGUAAUACAAUUCUUCUAUUUGCUAGGGACACUUAUUAAGUAUUGAUAAGCUUUACAGUUUCACUCAGAUGCUACUACAUUUCUAAGUACUUUUCCAGAUCUGUUACUUUGAAUAGUAUCUUUCAUGUUUUACUUGUGACAAGUUCCAUCAGCAAUGGAACUUUCAUGCAGCAGUUUCCACAGAGUUUUUUCCUGCUUAAGCACAUGUAAAACAAAAUGCACACAGAUGCCUUUAUAAAUAAAGCAUAUAUACUCUGAACUGUAAAGUGAGACACAAAACAAGUCAGUCUUACGUAGCGAUUUAGUUCCAAUAACCUAUGUCAUGCCAUCCGUUACUUUUGGAAAAUAAGGUUUUUUAACCUAAGCUAUAAAAUCUAAUUAUGUCUUCAAAUCUGAAAGAAAUCACUCAUUGCCCUGACACAUUUUGACUAGAAAUCAUCCCUAAUAAUGUUAAUGAUUUGCAAGGAUGGACUGAAUGAGGAUGCUUUCAUUAUGUAGUAACAAAACCCUGUGAAAACAGCAUUGGGAGAGUAGUGCAAUGUACUGCCAUUCAAGUCUUUUUCUCCUCUGGAUUAUCCAUUGCCGAGGGUGGGGAAAAUGCGGAACUUGGAUAGGAGUAGAACAGCUCAGCUUGAUGGAGCCAUGGGAAGCUGUGUGCACCCCAUUCACCCACCCCAGUACUCAGCCCUAAGAACCCCCCAGACUCCACUAGAGCCCCCAAGUUCCUUCCAGUGCUCCAAACAGACCUGUGCUACCCAGUACCUCCCCGAUGAACAUAGCACCCCCUGAAG